UCCCUGGUGGCUUAGACGGUAAAGCGUCUCUCUGCAAUGCAGGAGACCCAGGUUCAAUCCCUGGAUUGGGAA
rnacentral:tRNA from 1 species